rnacentral:tRNA from 1 species
GGGCGAAUGGUCUAGUGGUAUGAUUCCUCGUUUGGGUAUAAUUCAAACAUAAGUCUCGAGGAGGUCCGGGGUUCAAUUCCCCGUUUGCCCC